rnacentral:tRNA from 4 species
GGAGCGGUGUCCGAGCGGUUUAAGGAGGCGGUCUUGAAAACCGUUGUGCCGUAAGGCACCGGGGGUUCGAAUCCCCCCUGCUCCG